AAAAAAUGGUAUAUAAACAGCCUGCUUUUGUCACUUCACAGGUCCUAUUUCUAUGAGAUUGCUAUACACACAAAUUUGUUUUCUUCCCUCUGUAGUUUGUCCUGUGUCACCUUAACAAUUAGGCCAGGCAAAGGAACCAAGUGGGCGGGGGGGAGAGUGUCCCCCUCCCCAACAGCAAGAGGGGAAAAACACACAAACACACACACACAGACACAGUCCUAUUUUCUUAAUUUACUUUACAUUAAGGGACAGGUUGGGGGCUGGGGAGAAAGUGUCCCCCCUCCUGAACAAUAAGAAAGAGGGGAAACACAUACACACACACAAACACACACACAGAGUCCUAUUUGCUCAAUUAAUUUUAUAGUAAGAUAAAGCAAAAACUAACCAAAAAAUGGUUUCUCGGGGUGGGGGAAGGAACAGGUGGGAGAGGCAGGAAUGGACCAGAAUUUACCUUGUUUUGUUGACUUGCCUAUGGACUUCAGUAACUAUCGUAUAUAAUUACAAAAUAAAAUUAGACUGGGCCCUGAUCCAGCGUGAUGGGUGCCUUAUGAGAAGGGGACAUUUGAAGUCAGCCAUGCACACAGGAAGGCUAUGUUGUGAAGAUGAAAAUGGAGACUGAGGGGACGGUGGUGCUUCUACAAACUAAGGAAGAUGAAGACAGGGCACAGGGCACAGGAAGCCCAGGGGCACAGACCAGACUCUCCCUUCCAGGCCCCCGGAUCAGAGCAGCCCUGCUGUGCCUUGACCUUGGACUUCUGGAACUGUGAGAUGUGUUCUGUGUUUAAACCACCCGCUGUCUGGAACUCUGCUGCCGCAGCCCCAGCAAACUAAAAUAGAAACUGGCAUUCCCAUUGUGGCUCAGCAGUAAUGACCCGGCUAGUGUCCAUGAGGAUGGGGCUUCAGUCCCUGGCCUCGCUCAGUGGGUUAAGGAUCCGGUGUUGCUGUGAGCUGUGGUGUAGGUCACAGUCAUGGCUCGGAUCCUAUGUUGCUGUGACUGUGGCUGUGGCCAGCAGCUGCAGCUCGGAUUACACCCCUAGCCUGGGAACUUUCAUAUGCAGCGAGUGUGGCCCUAAAAAGCAAAAAUAACAACUAAGAUAGAAACUUAUUGACUAAAAGAGACUCAAGGGUCAAGAGACAGGUGGAGAAAAAGUAUCAGCAACUCUUUUUUGGAUCCCAAUUCAAAAACCAACUAUAUAGAAAUCUUCAGUUGGAUAUUUGAUGAUUUUUAGGAAAUCAUGGGGUCUUUGGGGGUGUAGUCAUGGUGUUUUGGAUAUGUUGGAAAAGAGUCUUUUUUUUUCUUUUUAGGGCCACACCCACAACCCAUGGAUGCUCCCAGGCUGGGGUGGAAUUGGAGCUACAGCUGCUGGCCUAUAUACAGCCACAGCAACACAGGAUCUGAGCCACAUCUGUGACCUGCACCACAGCUCAUGUCAAUGCCGGAUCUUUAACCUGCUGAACGAGGCCAGGGAUUGAACCCACGUCCUCAUGGAUCCUAGUCAGGUUCAUUAAUCACUGAGCCAUGAAGGGAACUCCUGGAAAAGAGUCAUUAUUUAGAGAUACUUAUUGAAGUAUCUUUAGGUGAAAUGAUACAGUGUCUGGGAAUUGCAUCAAAGUAAGCCCUCAGGGACAAGAAGAAAUCAGUGAGUGUUGGAGUAGACAGAACAGGAUGGUCGGCAGCUGAUCAUUUUGGAAGGUGGUGGAUAGGGUCAGCAGCGUUGUGCUGGGAAGCUGGCUGGGGAAGCGGGAAGCCCUAAUUUGAAGCAUAUUCCACUGUCUGUAAUGUUUCCACCGUGUCCUGCUUCAAACAACCAAGGGUUUGAUUGGCAGCUUGCAAACUUUCUGAAUAUUUAACUCAGGUCUUGGGAGCUGGUAGGAACUGUCUUGAGCAUGCCACUGUUCCCUUGUCUCUAUUUUUAUAGUUGAAAUUGUCCAUCAUCUAAAAAAAAAAUAGAAGCACAACCUGGCUAACAUUUUUACUCUUCCUUUUGUCUUGGAGUUUGGUGUUGGGAAAAAGACCUUGGCUUUGGAAGUCCCAGCUGCAUCUCAGUUCUACAAUUUACUAGCUGUGUGACCUUCGGGAGGUCACUUUAUUUUCCUGAGCCUGGCUCCUCAGAGAAAAAGCCUCCCUCAUAAAGUUGUUGUGAGGGUCACUUGAAGUAAGGUAAAUGGCCUUUAAAAACGUCAAGGGUCGUUAUCAUGAUAAUUCUAGUUAUUGGUUGUCAGACCAAAGACUAAAAGGAAGUCAAUGAGAUUAAGCCCUGACCCGUCAACAGCCAUGAGAAUUUUCUAUAAUCCUUUGAAAACCAUGAAAGCACUCCCAAGUCAUUAGCAAAACUUUUUCAGGGGAUCUUUUGGGAAAUCGCUAAUAAAGGCAAUGGCCACGUGGCAAAGAUAUUCAGGGGACUGUGAGGCUGGUGGCAGUGACAGCAGAAAUGCUGUCCACUAGGAAGUCUUGAUAAAUUAAGUGUGAAAGACCAAAAGUGGGGGCCCCUUGGAUUGGAAAAUCCUGUCCAGGCCCGUGGAGUUGGGUGGGAAAAAAGAGGAGUUUAUUGUUUAUUUUUAAUUUUUUUUAUUAAAGUAUAGUUGAUUUACAAUGUUCCUUCAGUUUCUCUGUACUCACCUCUCCCCGUCUCCACAACUAGUCGCUUCGUCUCUCCCAUGAUUUUGCAAAAUUAUCUUUUUAUCCAUGUUGUCUUCUAGAACGUCUGCCAUUUCAUCUCACAUCUAGGUGUCAGAUUCUUUUCUUUCCCCCUUUUGGCCACCCCUUGGCAUAUGGAGUUCUCCGCCCAGGGAUCAGAUCUGAGCCGCAGUUGCGACCUAAGCUACAGGGUUAGGGUUAGGGUUAGGGCAAUGCUGGAUCCUUAACCCACUGUGCCAGCCAGGGAUGGAACUUGCAUCCCAGCACUCCCAAGACGCCGCCGCCAAUCCCUUUGUGCCAUAGUGGGAGCUCCUAGAUAUCAUAUUCUUCUGGCAAUUAUUCUUGUACCUCUUCCUUGUGCAAGGACCCAACGUGGUGAGCAUGGCUUUGCUGGGGCCCACCCCACGCUCCGUCUUGGUCUGGCGCUGUCAUUCGGGCCACAGUUUGCACAGCUGUCUGCAGCCUCUGAUCUUAUCUCUAAUCCCGUUUCCCGUGUCUCUCUGAAGAGCUUUGGAAGAAGGAAAUAUGAUGCAAUCACUGCCUCAUGGCUUCAGGAACAUCCAGGCGCACUGCCUCUGCUUUGAGCUGCUCCAUCCUUCCUGCUCUGCCUCACACGCUGUCUUCUCUUGCCCUUCUCACCCGACUCAGGCACCUCCCACCUCUGGGCCUUUGCACGUGCUGCCCCCCCCCCACCUCCUUUGGCUCAGCUGCUCUUUUACCCACACAGUCUCACCCUCUAAAUCUCAGGGGGAGACCUCACUUCUUCCAUGGGCUUCCUUGCCCUUGGCCAAGCUUGGUUUGCGUGCCUCCGGUGCACCCAUGGGUUAGUCCCUCAGUGGGUCUCCCCAUGCUUUAGCAUUUGCUCCUCUCCCUGCCAGCCUGAAAGAUCUUCCAGGAUCAGGUCGGUACCUUUUCACACAAUAGUCCCAGCAUCAGGUACCAUGCCCCGUACGUGGGCAGCACCCAGGAAAUCUCUGUCAGCUUAACAAGGGGCAUCACCUCAGAGCAAGGCUUAGCUGUUGUUGGCAACCGAGGGCUCAUCAGGUGCCAGCUCUUGUGUCUCCUUCAAAUACCCCUUGAGGUGAAUGCUCUUCUCAUCCUCAUUUGGGAGGUGAUGGGGAAAUGACGGGAUGGGUCCAAGGUCUCACUUCCAGUAGGAUGGAGCCAGCUUUUAAGUCCAGGGCACCCUGAUCUCAGAUACUUGCUCUGAAUCACCACUCGGUGUCACCUCUCUGCAAACACAGGGAUCAACCUAAAAAGGACAGGGAGGUAAAAGUGGCCUGUCCUUCCCCAUCUUUCCUGCUUUGGGUGCAGGCAGGAAGGGAGGGGCUGGGUGCAGAAAGGUGGCCUGAAGUGUGAUUGGCCAGAUGGGAACAAAGGACAUCAGUGGGGGAAACUAACAAGGGCUGGCCUGUGUGCCUUGGAAAGAUCCUCUGGGAGAGCAGGGCCAGGGCCGUCUCUGGAGGGAGGGUGGGAUGAAGCGUUAUGGAGAAAGUCCCUCUUGAGGUGGAUCUGAUGUCAGAGGGGUCUGGAGCACAGAUUCUGGGUGUUUCUAGGGGAGCUUUAUGGUUUACACCUUGGCCAGCGUCCGGCUUUAAUUGUGAGGUUUUGAAGCACAGCCCCGAGAAAGAAGCUGUUCCUUGAAGCCCAUGGGUUCAGAAACACAGAUGUAAUAUUGCUGCUCAGAACUACUUAAGGAGUAAUUUUGAGCAAGUUUCCCCCCCGCGAUUUAUUGGACAGGUCUGGAGCUUUGCAAGAUAGAUUUCAUUCAACUCAUAUUUUGGUUCUUAAUCCCCCUUUAUGCCCAAUUCUCCACAUUUCCAUUCGGUAUUUCAGGACCUAUCUAAAUAAAUUAUGAGAGCUUAAUGGAAAAAUCAAAAUCAAAUUAAACAAAUGGGUUAACUGUUCAGCUGCUAGGUUUUACUUCAGCUGUUACAGGGUUAGGAAAAAGUGCAGAGCAAUUUAUAACUAACCCGUCUGCUCAGGGAGAGACCUCUAUGUCAGCCGUACCCUCCUGGGCAUACUUAACCCAUCUCAGAUGACACAUGGAGAAAACAUCUGUUCUUUGGCAAAUACCUACACAAGAACAAUUCAAAUCGCAAACCCAAAUCAAUAGCAAACGUACAUCCUGCUGCAUUUUAAAUAGGAAUAGGAGAUCUUGCAAUGCAGAAUCCAUUGCAAGGCUUUAAAGUUUACCAAGCUUACUGCUCAGAAGGGAGUUAAAUUCCACCAAAUGGAGAGAUUUAAAGGCAGAAAGAAUCUGAGGGUGAAGAAAUGUGUUUCUCUGAACUCAUCCUUCUCUUUGGGGUCACAAAGGCUCUCAGACCUCUAUACGACUCUAUUUCUCUCCCACUUCACCCCUGCUUUACUAGCUAGGGUGCCAUGCCACUCACAUUACCACUGCUGGUCAAGUCCCUGAAAAGGCAAUUUCCCCUCAUUUCAUUAGACUCUUUUCUUGCCCUUGUUUCACCUUCCAUCUUUCCUUUCUUUACUUUGAUAUGUUGAAGAAUCAUCUUAAUUGGUGGCGAAUUAGAUUUUCCUGUAGUAACAACCUCAAAUUUUGAUGGCUUAUGAAAGCAAAUAUUAAUUUCGUGCAUCCUGGGUCAGCCGAGGCUCAGCUGUGUCUUGCUAGACUCCACUGCACUUGGCCAGGCUUGGUUCCAAGCUUCAGGUCAGGUUCAGGUCUGCUCCUUGUAUCUUUCAUGUGGAGAUCCAGGCUGGAGGAUGGCAGGAAGGCAAGACAGGACAUGAAAAGAGGCCUCUUAGAGCCUCUUCUUAGUACUCAAACACAUGCUAGCUGGUGUGCCAUAUUCUACUGGUCAAGGCAAGUCACGUGACCAAGGCCAACGUCAAGGAGAUGGGGAGAGAUAGCCCAUCCUGAGCAAGGAGCAUGAGUACUGGCUGAAGAAGAGCAUGGCUACUCUAAGUGGGAGGGUGUGGAGUGCAGGGGUCUCUCGUUUGUUUUCCAUUGAGGAAAAUCCAGUAGUUCUCCAACUUGUGCUCUGUUAUUACGCCCUGCCCUUAUUUUCAGUGCUCAAGGUUAGUGCCUCCACUUCUCUGUAGAAAGAAGGCGGAGUGAAGUAUUCCCAGUCACCAGUAAUCAUGGAGAUACUUAGAGUGUAUCGUGGAACUACUACGUGCACAAGCCCUUUGUGUGUAACUCCUAUAGUGAGCAGUCAUUUCAGGCUUUGCAAACAAUACAACUUUUGAUGGCUGUUCCAUUUCAGUUUCUGUUUAGUGUAAGCUGCAGAAGCAAUCUUAGUCACUUUGGGGUUGGGGCUGAUGGAAAGGGGUGUGGUGGAUAGUCACCUGUCAGCAUGUGCCCUGUCCCGUCCCCACCUGGCCUCCAGACAGGGAUGUAGGGGGCCCUGCUUCCUCCAGCUCAUUCUGAUGAGGCUCCUUUGCCUUGCUCUGGUCCUCUGAAAACAUCAAGCUGUAAUGUCUGCCUUGAUACGCCACGUACUAAUUUCUGCUCUGUUACUUCCCUUGGGCUCAAGGGACUUCGAGGUCUUAUGGAUUUCAAAGGUUUUACAUGGGCUCUUGGGUCUUCCCAGCUAGCGGGGUUACUCUCUGUCAUCUUCCCUCUCUGGGCUUAGCCCCAGAUGGCCCAGGAGGAGCAAGAGGCAGGGCGCUUUCCGGAACCACAUGGCAAUGACCCACUCUCUUGACCGCCUUUCCCUUUCUUCUCUCAACCGACGGGAUUUGAUUUCCAUUCAGUUGGGCUGACCUGGCUGCAUAGCAUCUUCCCAAAUGUAUUGUUUAGGGCACAGUUUUAUGCUCUGAGACCUUCACCUUCAUCACAGGUAGAGAAGUUGAUUCUGUGACUAAGGAACUGGGGAAAGGACAAUUUAUUGAAUUAAAAGCAGGCUAACCUGGGAGUUCCUGUUGUGGCGAACCUGGGAGUUCCUGCAGUAACGAACCCAACUAGGAUCCAUGAGGAUGUAUGUUUGACCCCUGGCCAUGCUCAGUGGGUUAAGGAUCUGGCGUUGCCAUGAGCUGUGAUGUAGGCCAGCAGCUACAGCUCCUAUUUGACCCCUAGCCUGGGAACCUCCACAUGGCAUGGGUGUGGCCCUAAAAAGUAAGUAAAUAAAUACAUAAAUAAAUACAAUUUAAAAAGCAGUCUAGGAGUUCCCGUCGUGGCGCAGUGGUUAACGAAUCCGACUAGGAACCAUGAGGUUGCGGGUUCGGUCCCUGCCCUUGCUCAGUGGGCUAAGGGUCCGGUGUUCCCAUGAGCUGUGGUGUAGGCUGCAGACUCGGCUCGGAUCCCGCGUUGCUGUGGCUCUGGCGUAUGCCGGUGACUACAGCUCCGUCUGGACCCCUAGCCUGGGAACCUCCAUAUGCCGCGGGAGCGGCCCAAGAAAUAGCAAAAAGGCAAAAAAAAAAAAAAAAAAAAAA
rnacentral:lncRNA from 1 species